GAUGAACGCUGGCGGCGUGCUUAACACAUGCAAGUCGAGCGAGAGAGUUCUUCGGAACAAUCUAGCGGCGGACGGGUGAGUAACACGUGGGCAACCUGCCUCAUAGAGGGGAAUAGCCUUCCGAAAGGAAGAUUAAUACCGCAUAACAUCGUUGAAGGGCAUCCUUCGAUGAUCAAAGGAGCAAUCCGCUAUGAGAUGGGCCCGCGGCGCAUUAGCUAGUUGGUGAGGUAACGGCUCACCAAGGCGACGAUGCGUAGCCGACCUGAGAGGGUGAUCGGCCACAUUGGGACUGAGACACGGCCCAGACUCCUACGGGAGGCAGCAGUGGGGAAUAUUGCACAAUGGGGGGAAACCCUGAUGCAGCAACGCCGCGUGAGUGAUGACGGCCUUCGGGUUGUAAGGCUCUGUCUUUGGGGACGAUAAUGACGGUACCCAAGGAGGAAGUCACGGCUAACUACGUGCCAGCCGCCGCCGUAA
rnacentral:rRNA from 1 species